UACAGAGGGUGCAAGCGUUAAUCGGAAUUACUGGGCGUAAAGCGCACGUAGGCGGCGUGAUAAGUUGGAUGUGAAAUCCCCGGGCUUAACUUGGGAAUUGCAUUCAAGACUGUCGCGCUGGAGUAUGGGAGAGAGAAGUGGAAUUCCAGGUGUAGCGGUGAAAUGCGUAGAUAUCUGGAGGAACAUCAGUGGCGAAGGCGGCUUCUUGGCCCAAUACUGACGCUGAGGUGCGAAAGCGUGGGGAUCAAACAGG
rnacentral:rRNA from 1 species